rnacentral:rRNA from 1 species
GACAGAGGGUGCAAACGUUGUUCGGAAUUACUGGGCGUAAAGCGAGUGUAGGCGGCCGCACAGGUCCGUUGUGAAAACUGGAGGCUUAACCUUCAGACGUCGAUGGAAACCGUGCGGCUAGAGUCCGGAAGAGGAGAAUGGAAUUCCUGGUGUAGCGGUGAAAUGCGCAGAUAUCAGGAAGAACACCCGUGGCUAAGGCGGUUCUCUAGUACGGUACUGACGCUGAGACGCGAAAGCGUGGGGAGCGAACAGG